GGGCGCUUAGCUCAGCUGGGAGAGCACCUGCCUUACAAGCAGGGGGUCACAGGUUCAAGCCCUGUAGUGCCCACCA
rnacentral:tRNA from 1 species